GACGAACGCUGGCGGCGUGCUUAACACAUGCAAGUCGAACGGAGUGGCGAACGGGUGAGUAACACGUGGGUGACCUGCCCUGCACUUCGGGAUAAGCCCGGGAAACUGGGUCUAAUACCGGAUAGUGUGGGAUGGGCCCGCGGCCUAUCAGCUUGUGGGGGGGGUAAUGGCCUACCACGGCGGCGACGGGUAGCCGGCCUGGGCGGGUGGACGGCCACAUUGGGCCUGAGGCACGGCCCAGAGUCCAACGGGGGGCAGCAGUGGGGAAUAUUGCGCAAUGGGCGGAAGCCUGAUGCAGCGGCGCCGGGGGGGGGAAGACGGCCUUCGGGUUGGAAACGCCUUUCACCAUCGACGCGGUAGAUGGAGAAGAAGCACCGGCUAACUACGUGCCAGCAGCCGCGGUAAUUC
rnacentral:rRNA from 1 species